ACAUACUGUGCGAACGUUAUUCGGAUUCACUGGGCUUAAAGGGUGCGUAGGCGGCUUGUUAAGUAGGGUGUGAAAGCCCCCAGCUCAACUGGGGAACUGCAUUCUAUACUGGUGAGCUAGAGUGAGAUAGGGGUGUGUGGAACUGCCAGUGGAGCGGUGAAAUGUGUUGAUAUUGGCAGGAACGCCGGUGGCGAAAGCGACACACUGGGUCUCAACUGACGCUGAGGCACGAAAGCCAGGGGAGCGAACGGGAUUAGAUACCCCGGUAGUCCUGGCCGUAAACGCUGAGUACUCGUUUGGAGCGGUUUCGGCUGCUCCAGACUUAGAGAAAUCGUUAAGUACUCCGCCUGGGGAGUAUGGUCGCAAGGCUG
rnacentral:rRNA from 1 species